rnacentral:lncRNA from 1 species
GGCCGGAGAGUUCUCCGGCGACUUCUGGUGCUCGUCCAUGAACUUCUGGCUCAUAGAGUAACAAAGCUCGAGAGCCGGCAAGGUGUUACAGAGCUCGGGAAUCUCUUCGUAGCUGAACCCAAAUCCCAGAUCCAAACACCCUUUAAGCUCGUCGAGAUCCUCGUCCGUCAAGCUCUUGGUCCUCGACAGAUCAUCGUCGUCCGCCGCCUCUACAUACCCUUCAAGCAAAACCUGCUUCUUCUUCUUCUUCUUGCUCUUCAACCUGUUCAACUUCGGCCAUUCUUCCUCGUCGGUUUCC